UUGGUCUCCCAUGGGGUGCAGGGCCCAAGUACUUGGGCCAUCCUCUACUGCACUCCCUGGUCACAGCAGAGAGCUGGCCUGGAAGAGGGGCAACCGGGACAGAAUCUGGUGCCCCGACCAGGACUAGAACCCGGUGUGCUGGCGCCGCAAGGCGGAGGUUUAGCCUAGUGAGCCGCGGCGCCGGCUGCAAUAUAUUUUUGAAAAAUAACUUUAUUUCAGACAUUGGAUUGGGCUGUACAAAUAACCUUAUACAGAAAAUUACUUGAUUCCUACCUUUACAGAACCUUAAUAAAAUAAUAAUGCAUGUUCUGAAACACAGCAUAUUGCCAAUGGAACUUGAAACUUAAUAAGUACAAAUAAAAACAUGUUAUGUCCUUUAAAAUACUGUCUAAAGGAGACAUAUACAUGUACACACAUAAAAAUGAAUCAAAUUGAGGCCAGCACGGUGGCAUAGAGGGUAAAGCUGCCACCUGCAACACAGGCAUCCAAUAUGGGUGCUGAUUGGAGUUCUGGGUGCUCCACUUCAGAUAUAGCUCUCUGCUAAUGCACUUGGAAAGCAGCAGAGGAUGGCUCAAGUCCAUGGGCCUCUGCACCCACGUGGGAGACCUGAAGGAAACUUCUGGCUCCUGGUUUCAGCCUGGUAAUUGUAGCCAUGUGGGGAGUGAACUGGUGGGUGAAAGUUCUCUUUUUCUGCCUGCUUCUUCCUCUCUGUAACUCUGCCUUUCAAACAAAUGAAUAAAUAAUUAUUUUUGCAAAAUGAAUCAAGAUAUUAAAUAUUCUAAGAGUAAUAUUUCUAAUGUGGAAGAAGUGAUUUGAUUGUCUUCAAUAUAGGUGUUGGGAAUAUGGUAUAUUUAUAUAUAUGAAUAGGAAUUUAAUGGUGUCUUUAACACAGAAUAUAUUGAUAUUUUAUAUAGAAGAAAGUUAUUAGCCUUGCAAAAGAGCUACUUGUUUGUGCUAUUAACAGGAAGACAUACCAAAGUAUCAAGAUUAGUAAAGAAACAAGUUUUCCUUUAAUUAGAUAAUUUCAUUAAAUAAUUGGCAUUGUUUUAUAAGUAUAUGUAAUGUAUUAAAUAUUUUUUUGAAAAAGAUUUAUUUAUUUAUUUGAGGGUUAAAGUUACAGAGAGAGGGAGAGACAGAGAGAAAGAUCUCUCCACUGGUUCAUACCUCAAAUGGCUGCAACAGUCAGAGCUGGGCCAAUCCGAAGCUAGGAGCCAGAAGCUUCUUCCAGGUCUCCCUUGCAGAUGCAGUGCCCCAAGGACUGGGGCCAUCUUCCACUGCCUUCCCAGGUCAUAGCAGAGAGCUGGAUCGGAAGAGGAGCAGCUGGGACAUGAACAGGUGUCCAUAUGGGAUGCCAGUGCUGCAGGCUGAGGCUUAGCCUACUGUGACACAGCGUAAGACCCAAAUAUUCUUAAAGCAAUAACUAGAUGUUCUACUCUUAUUUCUUUAAAAUUUAGAUGUAAGUAUUAUUCUCACUCAUUGUAUAAAUGAAUUAAGUGAGUUCUCUACAUUAUGCCGCUAUUUAUUAGAAUUAAAAAGGGUCCUAUUUGAUCACCUACACUUGUCAGUUUGUAUUACAUAUGCAAGCUAUCUCAUAUUUGUUCAAAAAGGAUAUUAUAUAUAUAUGUAUAUAUUUAAUUGCACCACACUAGGAUAUGAAGAGUGAUUAUGGACAUCAUUUAAUAUUUCAAAAAAUGGAGUAAAGAGAUUUCAGUCAUAAAUUGUAUGACAGGGAAAAAUCAGGAGAAUGUGGAGUUGAGAAUAAAUCAUCCAUAGAUUACCAUAUUAAAGUUCCAAAUCAUGGGGCUCUUUGACAGGACAAGUGAGGAAACAUGAGAAAGUACAUGGCAAAUAUAGCCAGGAAAGUCAUUAACAUUCAAAAGUUAUUUUUCAAAAGUGGAAUCUGAGGAAAUGGGGAGACAAAAAAUAACUAAAUGAUAGAAGUACAGCAGCCAUCCUAAAAAUGGCAUUCGGAUCAAAAGAUCAAAGAUUAGUCAGCAAAAUUACCCAAAAUAUACAGCUGCAUACUUUAGUGGAUGCAUAUUCAUUCCAACAUUUUAGCAUAUCUUCUUUCAUUAAAUCACCCCCCCAUUCCACGUAGAACUAUGAAGACAGGAAUCACGACAUACGAUAGGUUCUGACAAAACAGACUUCUUUUCUCUGAUUUUAAUUGUGGGUUCAAUGUUAUUUCAAAAAUAUCAACAUUAGUCAUUACAGACCAAACAGGUAAGUGGUCUUCUUAGGAUUUGAUCCACAGAAAUUGAAUUUAAAAAGUUCCAAUUUUAUAUUUUUCUAAAAAAUUAUUCUCAAAGGAGACAUAUAGAGAUCUUUCGUCUUCUUGGUUCACUGCCCAAAUGUCCACUAACAAUGCUGGGCCAGUCUGAACCUAUGAGCUGGAAACUCAGUCCAGGUCUCCCAUUUUGGUGGCUGGGAUCCAACUUCUUGAGCCAUUGCCUGCUGCCUCCUUGAGAGUAAACAAGGAUGUGGAACUGAAAAUAGAUACGGGAUGUGGGCAUCUUAAUCAUACUAAAUACUCACCUUGCUCUGUCUUAUUUUUAUAUGCAAAGCAGUUGAGGAAGUUUGACUGUAGAGUCAUGGCAUUCUCUUAAAAUGCCAUGUGUGAAAAAGCUAGUUUUCAGAGGAAAAUUGAGUGGAGCUAAGCAGAAACACAGAGUCACUAUUUUUCAUAACCCAGCGCCCAGCUCUAAGGUGUUGGUUCCUGCAAUUCUCUCCUCUAUUAUGUGAACUACCUUGGCAUUCUUCAAACAAAGGAAUCUUGAUGAAAUCAACCACUCAGGCACACCUAAAAAAUGAUGGGUUUCAGGACAAUGGAAAAAAAUUAUAAACAUGCAUGCAUUUUGAGAAAUUGAGUAGGAGAAAUACAAAGGAAUAAAUACAGGUUCUUCUGAUUCUUCCCUUGAACUACACUCAGAAACUACAGGGCAUCAAAGACACUACAAGUUUAAGUAGACCUAAAAUGGGAAACAAAAAACCUGAAUGCAUCACUUCUGUGAUAUUUAAGACAUUCUACCUGUCCUUUUCUAUCAGCACUAUAAUUUCCCCAUUCAGAUAUUGUUACCUCUUGUCACCUGCUCUAUAGUUAUCUUCCUGAGCAUCAUUGAACUGAUAGAGAUAUUAUUUUCUCUUGUACCUAGCUGGUGAGAAGACUGAUUAAGUCAAGAGAGAAAAGGACAUAAAAAUCUUACGUUCAUGCUUGACUCAAAAUAAAAUCUAAAUCUAAAGGGGAUAUAAAUACAAUUCAAAUACUUUAAAUAUAUAACUACUUCAUAAUCCAUAUUAGCUUCUUGUUAAGCCAACUUUGAUGACAUCACAUAUCUCUUUAAAUCACCAUUGUGGUUCAAGCCAUUUGCCAUUUUUGUGAAAUAUGUUUUUGUUUUGUUUUUCCUCUCAUCAGACUCAUGCCCUCCAAAAAAUAAUCAGAGCAAUAAGAGCACUACAUGGCACAAACAAGUAUAUAGCUGGAGGUUCAACAUAAAUAAUCACAUGUAGCCCAACCCAUGUUAAAAUACUAACUAUUGCCAAUGUACCAACUAGCAAAAUUAUGGUCAGUAUCAAGAAAGGAAUUUAUUACCAUUGGGGUUGAUAUCAGAAUACUAAGUGAAGUCUUGGUGCUAACUAGGUUUUCCCUUCAUAAAAGAGCAGACUAAUAACUCUAAGCUCAUCAAGUGCUAUCGUCUUUCUCAGGAGAUGGGAAGGCUGAAAGGUAAAGUGACCUGCCUCAGUUUGUCAGCCAUUCUAUGACUGCAGAUCGGGGUGACACUACACAUUCAUCUAGAGUACCUCUGGGUGUCCAAACUUUUCAUACAAAUCUACUUAAUUGCACAUCAUACUCUGUGGUGCGUACCCUUUCAUACAUCCAUAAACCUAUUACAAAGUAAACAUCUUGAGCUCAGGGAUUAUGUCUUAGGUUUACCUUGCUUAAACCAAGCUUAGAACAUAAAAAAUUGUUCAGCUAGUGCAUCUAGAAAAGGUACAAGUGAAAAAUCAGAGUUAAACUAAACUAUAGAACAAACAGAUCUAAAAGGCAACACAGAACAACAGCUGCCCGGUGUGUUUUCAUCAGCACAUGACACCUUUUUGUAGGAUAGAAAAUCAAGUCACAAAACAAGCCUUAACAAACUUUACAAAAUGAAGCUCACAUUAUGUGUUUAUUCUAAUAACAAUGGAAUAAAUUUAGAAAUCAACAAAAUCAACAAUAAAAGUAAAAAAAGGGAACACUACAAGUGCAUAGAAGCUUAACAAAAUACACCUGAAUGAGCAGUCAUUCACUGACAAAUUCAGAAGGGAAAUUUAAAAAUUCCUUGAAACUAGUACAAAUUGAAACCCAACAUACCAAAACUAAUGAGAUAUCAAAAUCAGUAGUAAGAAGUAUGUUCACAGAAAUAAGUAUCUACAUUUAAAAAAAAUCAAAUAAAUAAUUCAACAACACAUAUCAGGAGCCAGCACUGUGGCUUAGCUGAUAAAGCCACCACGUACAGUGCCAGCAUCCCAUAUGGGCGCCGGUUCGAGUCCUGGCUGCUCCACUUCCAAUCCAGCUCUCUGCUGUGGCCUGGGAAAGCAGUAGAAGAUGGCCCAAGUUCUUGGGUCCCUGCACCCACGUGGGAGACCCAGAGAAAGCUUCUGGCUCCUGGCUUGAGAUCUGUACAGCUUCAUUGCAACCAUCUGGGGAGUGAACCAGUGGAUGGAGGAUCUCUCUGUCUCUGUCUCUCUCUCUCUUUCUCUUUGCCUCUUCCUUUCUGUAACUCUGUCUUUCAAAUAAAUAAAUAAAUCUAAAAAAAUACAUAUCAAAAACUUAAAAAACAGGAAGAAAGGAAACACAGUAGAAGGGAUGAAAACAUGAGAUUACACAGAGAUUAAUGAAAUAAAAAUUUUUUAAAAUGCAAAGAGAACAGAAAUGAAGUUGUUUUUGAAAAGAUAAAGCAAAUUAACAAAUCUUUAAAAAAGAGAUAAGAUUCAUAAAAAUAAGAGAAAAAAUGUGGUAUUGCAGUGGAUAACCCAGAAAUAAAAGGAUCAUUAGAGACUAUUAUAAACAACUAUCUGCAAACAAAUUGGAAAAUUAAAAGAAAUGGAUAAAUUUCUGGAUACAAAUAAAUUACCAAACUUAAUUGUGAAGACAUAGAAAACCUGAAACAGGCCUAUAAUGAAUGUAAUGAUAUUGAACAUAGCGAGUAAAGAUGAUGUAUCAUAUGAUCCUGCUAUCCUGCUUCUGGCUAUAUGUCUGAAGAACAUGAAAUCAGCGUAUGAAAGAGAUCCUUGCACUCUGAUGGCACAUUGUAAACCUGUUCACAAUAGCCAAAAUACGAACUCAACAUAGAUGUUCAUCUAUGGGUGAAGAAAAUGUGGUGUAUAAACACAAUGUAAUACCUGAGACCCUGACAUUUGCCUCAAAAUGGAUGAGACUGGAGAUCUCCAGUUAAGUGAAGUCAGCUAGAUACUGAAGGAUCAAUAUCAUAUGUUCCCUGUUACAUGUGGAAGUUGCAGAAAAUUAUAUCAUUCUAAACUUAGAAUAGUGACUAUGAGAGUUGGGAAGGCUGGGUGUAGGUGAUAGGAAGAGACUGUAUAUUGGGUUCCAGAACAUGCAAGUAUUUUAUGUUUAUCAAAAUUUUAAUAAUAAAAUAACUAGCAUUUAAUCAAUAAUUUAUAAUCAUUAAAUAAUUUAAUUACUCAAAAGCAAUAAAUCAAUUUGGACAAUAUUACAAUCUGUUCAGAGUUGAUUAAAGAAAAGUAGUGGCAUACGGCAACUCCUAUCUUCAGCUGAUCUGCUUUGGUUUUCAAGGACUCUAGAGGUAUUGGAAUUUAGAACCAAAUCACCACGUUACUAAAAAAUUCAGUUCAAAUUCUGUCAAAAUGGAGCUGAGCCACUUUCAGUUAAAAUAGUGAAGAACUAUUUAGAUCUCGGGCAAAUGUUCAAGCUUCAAAGCCAUCCUGGAAAUAGGUGAUAUGCAGCCUUUGAUUAUUUUUCCCUUAAUUAUGGAUACUAGUAGUACUUGCUGAGGCUUGAAUACUUGUCCCCUCUGAAAUCACAUUGAAAUUUAGUGAAAUUUUAAACAAUAUUUGUUCAGACCUUUCAAAAGUAAUUAUGCCAAGAGAGAUUUACUCUCAUGAAUGGAAAAGGUGUCACUAUAAAAGGGAAAUUUCAGUCCUCUCCUUUCUCUCUUGGCCCUUUGACUCUGUGAUGACAGCCAUUAUGUAAUGACUCAGCAAGUAAGCCCACAGAUGCAGGCCCCUGAGUCAUGGAUCUCCAGCCUCUGGAACUGAAAGUAUGAUAUCUUCCUAGAAUGGAUUGUGUUGCCCUUUCACCAAGCCUCCUUCUUUCUGCUGUGGAGAAGAGAUAUAUCCUGAGAUGCUGAGAUGCAGCGAACACCUACAGCAGCAUCAUGGAGCCACUAGUGCAGCUGAAGGUGUAGGCAGCAGAAGGCUCUCGGCUGACUGUUCUUGGAGGAAUUUCUCCAAAAGAGCUGCCUCACCUGUGAUGAUGCCUGCUCCCCUGUAGCCUGUGCCCUCUGAUUGGUCAAUGGGAAGGACCAGCUGCUGUACUUCAAGGUAGCACAACCCUGACAGGCCAACCUAUCACAAGAGUUCCCCAAGUAACUGUCUGAGUCUUGCAUUACAACUAAAUCACUAUUCAAUUCCUCCCCCUAAGCAACCCUACUUCACUCAAAUAUCUGAUCUUAAGGAUGUUCCCAAUAUAUGAACCCUCUAUUCUCUACUUUUAUCUUAGGAACCUGACUUAAGACUCCAAAUUAUUAACUAUUCCCUUGAGAUCUUCUACUUUCCUGUGGAAUAAAGACUGUGAAACACUAA